rnacentral:rRNA from 1 species
GGGGCCCGCACAAGCGGUGGAGCAUGUGGUUUAAUUCGAUGAUACGCGAGGAACCUUACCUGGGCUCAAAUGUAUGUUGACGUAUUCUGAAAGGGAUACUUCUUCGGACAAUAUACAAGGUGCUGCAUGGUUGUCGUCAGCUCGUGCCGUGAGGUGUCGGGUUAAGUCCCAUAACGAGCGCAACCCCUAUCAUUAGUUGCCAUCAGGUCAAGCUGGGGACUCUAAUGAAACUGCCUACGCAAGUAGUGAGGAAGGUGGGGAUGACGUCAAAUCAGCACGGCCCUUACGGCCUGGGCUACACACGUGCUACAAUGGUCGGUACAAAGGGUUGCCAAGCCGCGAGGUGGAGCUAAUCCCAUAAAACCGAUCGUAGUCCGGAUCGCAGUCUGCAACUCGACUGCGUGAAGUCGGAAUCGCUAGUAAUCGUGAAUCAGAAUGUCACGGUGAAUACGUUCCCGGGCCUU